rnacentral:tRNA from 1 species
CGGAGGGUGCCCCUGGAGAGGGAGCCAGGCUCGGCUUGCGAUCCGAGAGUCGCCGAAAGGCGAUUUGGGUUCGAGUCCCACACCCUCCGGCCA